UGUGGUGGCGAUGGCAAGAAGGAUACACCUGUUCCCAUGCCGAACACAGAAGUUAAGCUUCUUAGCGCCGAUGGUAGUUGGGGGUUUCCCCCUGUGAGAGUAGGACGUUGCCACGC
rnacentral:rRNA from 1 species